GGACUUUUAAAUUUUGUUGGGUGUUAUUUUAUUGAUUUUGGCUUGAAAAAGAAAUUUAAUUAAUGGAAAAGAAAAGAAGUGAGGGAGGAAAAGGUAAUAAUAAUAAUAAUAUAUUAAUAAUAUUAUUAUUAUUAACUAUUAAUUGUUAUUAUUAAAAAAAAGAAAUUAAAAUUUCUUUUCUUCUUCUUCCUCCCGCGCGCACACCCCCCUCUGUCCUUCUUCUUCCGUUUCUCUUUUCUUCUUUUCUACUCUACUUCAGCCCACCGCCCCUCCCCAUCUCCGUUCGGUUCUGCGACCACCGCCCCCAACCUCAUGUCAGCCGCCUAUUCCGAAUCGCCGUCGUCUUGCCGAGGUUGAAGUCGAAGGGCCAGUUCGCGUCGCGGCCUUAUUCGCACGGCUUGGUCUUCGUUCGCGACGUCCGGCCACCGGCUGUCGCGACAACUGUUCGCCGCUCUCCUCCGCGCGUUCCUUUUCGUCAGACCGAGCCGUCCACACCCUCUGUUUCGUUCUGCCUCCGUUCUACAAAGCGCCGCCGUCGCGCGACUCUCCACCUCUCAACCGCGAAGUGUAAACCGUUUCGCCUCGAUCAGUGCAACACAAUUUUUGUCUUUACGUUCGAUCCCUACUGCCUCUACUUUUACUGUGAAUGGUUGAAGUUUAUUGAUGGAAAUUGAAGUUGGGUUGUAGUUGUUUUGAAACUUUGUUCAAGUAUUAUGGUUGUAUUAGUGGUUGAUCUGUUGUUCGAUCUUAGGUAUUGAGGGUAGCGCUUGAUUUUCUUUGGGUUCACAACAAAUAUUGGUUUUGGUUUGAACUCAAUUCGAUAACGUUGGGUUUGUUUUCGUGAAUUCUAGUGCGGUUAAGGAGCUUACUUAAGGUUAAGGUAAAAGAUUUUCUACUACUGGACUCAUCUAUAAAUUAGAAUAUGUUGACGGUAUGUUAUCUCUAAACUGAGAAUGGAUGACAGUUAGGAUAUAUAUAUAAUUUGAAGUAGACUUGAGAUUGAAUGUAUGUUGUGUUUUGAUCGGAACUAUAUAUAUAUAUGGGUGUGAAAUGACUGCAAACUGUGGAUGUUGCCUAUUAUAAUAUGUGGAUGUGAACUUGUUGGCUGUCGUGUGGACUGGGUGUAAAUUAUACCAAGUAUGGCCAUGUGCUAGUUAACCGAGGGGAUAUUAUGAUUACUUAGUUUAUUUGACUGAUGUGUUAAUAUGUUACUGACUGACUUGGGCUAAAAAGCAAUAAGUUGACUGUUAGAGUAUUAAGCCAAGAGAUAAUUUGACUGUAUUAUGGUUGACUGCUAAGAUGUUUAAAAUGGACUGAGGGGAAAAUUAUAAGUUUCCUAUUGGGUAGUUACCUUGCAGGUGUCCUACGGGAUCAUCACCCUUUUGUGCAUCAUUUGGAAGCACUAGACUGAUAUGUGCAUCCUUCGGGAGCACUAGACUGAUUUAUGCAUCCCUCGUGACGUUAGACUGAUUAUGUGUAUCUAACGAGAUUAGUCACAGGGUUCUCCACAGGAAGUUAAUAGUUUAUUUUUUUUUCCUUAACGGGAUCAGUAGUGGGUCUCUUACUGAUUAUGUUUAUACUCACCAUUUUAUGUUUAACUUUUUCAGGCAAAGGUAACAAGGGAGGCAGACCGGCGAGGGACAUGAAGGAAGCGUGAUUGCCUUAGGGAAUAUUUUAAUUUGCUUCCGCUUGAUUUUCGUUUUAGUACUUGAGACUGUUUAGAAAAUUUUGUGGUUUAACUGAAGUCACGAACUGAUGAUUUGUAAGCAUUACUUUGAGAGUUUUUGAUUAUUUUAAACAAGGUCCAAACUUAAGUUGUUUUAUUUGAUCAUAUGAUUUCAAAUGAAUUUUAAUAUAUUUGGUGUCAAUUAAGGUCUUUUUGUCAAAAUUAAUGACUUCAACUUAGUUAGAAAAUGUAGGGUCGUUACAAAUUAAUUAUAUGAAAAAAAGAAAGAGAAACACACAUGUAUGCACUCAAUAGUAAUCAAGUACAAGAUAUCGAACCAUGCAUCACAUGAAAUCAAUCUUUAUAAACACAAGUUCAACUCUACGAAAC
rnacentral:lncRNA from 1 species